rnacentral:rRNA from 1 species
GAUGAACGCUGGCGGCGUGCCUAAUACAUGCAAGUCGAACGAAACUUCGUUAUCACCGCGUGCUUGCACUCACCGAUAAAGAGGUGAGUGGCGAACGGGUGAGCAACCCGUAAGCAACCUGCCCAUACGGGGGGGCUGACCCAAUGCAACAUAUUCUUAUACCCCGCAAGCAUCAUUACCGCAAGGCAACUUUGUAAACACUUGCUAUACUACCCCCGCUGGAUUGGCCGGCUGGGCAUUAGCCAGCUGGUCAGGGAAAGGCUUACCAAGGCACUGAAGCGUAGCCGACUGGAGAGGGUGAUCGGCCACAGUGGGACUGAGACACGGCCCAGACUCCUACGGGAGGCAGCAGUAGGGAAUCUUCCGCAAUGGGCGAAAGCCUGAUGGAGCAACGCCGCGUGGGUGAAGAAGGUCUUCGGAUCGUAAAACCCUGUUGUUAGGGAAGAAAGUGUGUGAGAGUAACUGUGCACGUUUUGACGGUACCUAACCAGAAAGCCACGGCUAACUACGUG